rnacentral:rRNA from 1 species
AUUGAACGCUGGCGGCAGGCCUAACACAUGCAAGUCGAACGAGUGGCGGACGGGUGAGUAAUGUCUGGGAAACUGCCUGAUGGAGGGGGAUAACUACUGGAAACGGUAGCUAAUACCGCAUACCAUCAGAUGUGCCCAGAUGGGAUUAGCUAGUUGGUGGGGUAACGGCUCACCAAGGCGACGAUCCCUAGCGGGUCUGAGAGGAUGACCAGCCACACCGGAAAUGAGAAACGGUCCCGACUCCUACGGGAGGCAGCAGUGGGGAAUAUUUCACAAUGGGCGCAAGCCUGAUGCAGGCAUGCCGCGGGUAUUAAGAAGGCCUUCGGGUUGUAAAGGACUUUCAGCGGGGAGGCGUUACCCGCAGAAGAAGCACCGGCUAACUCCGUGCCAGCCGCCGCGGUAAUUC